GACGAACGCUGGCGGCGUGCUUAACACAUGCAAGUCGAACGGGCCUUGUCCCCUUUUUUUUUGGGGGUGGGGUUAGUGGCGAACGGGUGAGUAACACGUGAGUAACCUGCCCCUCACUUCUGGAUAACCGCUUGAAAGGGUGGCUAAUACGGGGUGUUCUGGCCUGCUCGCAUGGGUGGGUUUGGAAAGAUUCGACCGGUUUUGGUUGUUUUGGUGGGGGAUGGGCUCGCGGCCUAUCAGCUUGUUGGUGGGGUGAUGGCCUGCCAAGGCUUUGACGGGUAGCCGGCCUGAGAGGGUGGGCGGUCACACUGGGACUGAGACACGGCCCAGACUCCUACGGGAGGCAGCAGUGGGGAAUAUGGCACAAUGGGCGCAAGCCUGAUGCAGCGACGCCGCGUGAGGGAUGGAGGCCUUCGGGUUGUGAACCUCUUUCGCCAGUGAAGAAGGUCCUGCUCUUUGUGGUGGGGUUGACGGUAGCUGGGUUAAUGAAGCGCCGGCUAACUACGUG
rnacentral:rRNA from 1 species